rnacentral:rRNA from 1 species
AACGAACGCUGGCGGCAGGCUUAACACAUGCAAGUCGAGCGCCCCGCAAGGGGAGCGGCAGACGGGUGAGUAACACGUGGGAAUCUACCCAUCCCUACGGAACAACUCCGGGAAACUGGAGCUACUACCGUAUACGCCCUUCGGGGGAAAGAUUUAUCGGGGAUGGAUGAGCCCGCGUUGGAUUAGCUAGUUGGUGGGGUAAAGGCCUACCAAGGCGACGAUCCAUAGCUGGUCUGAGAGGAUGAUCAGCCACAUUGGGACUGAGACACGGCCCAAACUCCUACGGGAGGCAGCAGUGGGGAAUAUUGGACAAUGGGCGCAAGCCUGAUCCAGCCAUGCCGCGUGAAUGAUGAAGGCCUUAGGGUUGCAAAGUUCUUUCACCGAUGAAGAUAAUGACGGUAGUCGGAGAAGAAGCCCCGGCUAACUUCGUGCCAGCCGCCGCCGUAA